rnacentral:rRNA from 1 species
CCUACGGGAGGCAGCAGUGAGGAAUAUUGGUCAAUGGGCGGGAGCCUGAACCAGCCAAGCCGCGUGAGGGAAGAAGGUACAGCGUAUCGUAAACCUCUUUUGUCAGGGAACAAAGGCGGGGACUAGUCCCCGGAUGAGGGUACCUGAAGAAAAAGCAUCGGCUAACUCCGGGCCAGCAGCCGCGGUAAUACGGAGGAUGCGAGCGUUAUCCGGAUUUAUUGGGUUUAAAGGGUGCGCAGGCGGCCUGUUAAGUCAGCGGGAAAAGCCCGGGGCUCAACCCCGGCGAGCCGUUGAAACUGGCGGGCUGGAGUUGGCGAGAAGUACGCGGAAUGCGCGGUGUAGCAGUGAAAUGCUUAGAUAUCGCGCAGAACCCCGAUUGCGAAGGCAGCGUACCGGCUCCACACUGACGCUGAGGCACGAAAGCGUGGGUAUCGAACAGGAUUAGAUACCCUUGUAGUC